rnacentral:rRNA from 1 species
AUUGAACGCUGGCGGCAGGCCUAACACAUGCAAGUCGAACGAGUGGCGGACGGGUGAGUAAUGUCUGGGAAACUGCCUGAUGGAGGGGGAUAACUACUGGAAACGGUAGAUAAUACCGCAUACCAUCGGAUGUGCCCAGAUGGGAUUAGCUAGUAGGUGGGGUAAAGGAUCACCUAGGCGACGAUCCCUAGCUGGUCUGAGAGGAUGACCAGCCACACUGUAACUGAGACACGGUCCACACUCCUACGGGAGGCAGGAGUGGAGAAUAUUGCACAAUGGGCGCAAGCCUGAUGCAGCCAUCCCGCGUGUAUGAAGAAGGCCUUCGGGUUGUAAAGUACUUUCAGCGGGAAGGCGUAACCCGCAGAAGAAGCACCGGCUAACUCCUUGCCAGCCGCCGCGGUAAUU